rnacentral:rRNA from 1 species
AUUGAACGCUGGCGGCAUGCCUUACACAUGCAAGUCGAACGGCAGCACGGGAGCAAUCCUGGUGGCGAGUGGCGAACGGGUGAGUAAUAUAUCGGAACGUGCCCAGUCGUGGGGGAUAACGUAGCGAAAGCUACGCUGAUACCGCAUACGAUCUAUGGAUGAAAGCGGGGGAUCGCAAGACCUCGCGCGAUUGGAGCGGCCGAUAUCAGAUUAGGUAGUUGGUGAGGUAAAGGCUCACCAAGCCGACGAUCUGUAGCUGGUCUGAGAGGACGACCAGCCACACUGGGACUGAGACACGGCCCAGACUCCUACGGGAGGCAGCAGUGGGGAAUUUUGGACAAUGGGCGCAAGCCUGAUCCAGCAAUGCCGCGUGCAGGAUGAAGGCCUUCGGGUUGUAAACUGCUUUUGUACGGAACGAAACGGCGAGCUCUAAUACAGUUUGCUAAUGACGGUACCGUAAGAAUAAGCACCGGCUAACUACGUGCCAGCCGCCGCGGUAA